rnacentral:rRNA from 1 species
CCGUAACUAUAACGGUCCUAAGGUAGCGAAAUUCCUUGUCGGGUAAGUUCCGACCCGCACGAAAGGCGUAAUGAUUUGGGCACUGUCUCAACAGCCCGCCCGGCGAAAUUGUAGUACCGGUGAAGAUGCCGGUUACCCGCGACAAGACGGAAAGACCCCAUGGAGCUUUACUGUAGCCUAAUAUUGGGUUUCGGUGUUGCAUGCACAGGAUAGAUGGGACGCUAGGAAGUGAGUGCUUUGGCAUUCAUGGAGCGGCCGUUGGGAUACCAUCCUUGCGACAUUGGAAUUCUAACCUGCGCCUUUGAAUCAAGGCGGGGGACAUUGUUAGGUGGGCAGUUUGACUGGGGCGGUCGCCUCCUAAAGAGUAGCGGAGGCGUUCAAAGGUUGGCUCGUCCUGGACGGAAACCAGGAGAGAGAGUGCAAACGCAAAAGCCAGCCUGACUGCGAGACUGACGGGUCGAGCAGAGACGAAAGUCGGAGUUAGUGAUCCGGUGGUAUGUGAGUGGAAAUGCCAUCGCUCAACGGAUAAAAGUUACCCUGGGGAUAACAGGCUGAUCUCCCCCAAGAGUCCACAUCGACGGGGAGGUUUGGCACCUCGAUGUCGGCUCAUCGCAUCCUGGGGCUGUAUUCGGUCCCAAGGGUUUGGCUGUUCGCCAAUUAAAGCGGUACGCGAGCUGGGUUCAGAACGUCGUGAGACAGUUCGGUCCCUAUCUGUCGUGGGCGCAGGAUAUUUGAAAGGCGCUGUCCCUAGUACGAGAGGACCGGGAUGGACGCACCGCUGGCGCAUCGGUUGUCAUGCCAAUGGCACGGCCGAGCAACUAUGUGCGGUUUGGAUAAACGCUGAAAGCAUCUAAGCGUGAAGCCGGCUCCAAGAUGAGAUAUCCCACCGAGUUAAUCGGGUAAGACCCCUUGAAGACUACAAGGUUGAUAGGCUGCGUGUGUAAGCGUCGUGAGGCGUUGAGCUUGGCAGUACUAAUAGGUCGAGGGCUUGACCC